GUGCAAACCACUGUAAAUAAAUCUGAAAUUUCUAUGAAGGUCGCACUGUGUCUGAUUUAUACUUCAGCACCCGAUGAAAUAAUGUUGACCAGCUUUUAGUUCACCAGCUUUCAGUGAGGACAUUUAGGGAGUCUGAGGUUGACAUCAGUUCCCCAAACUCCAGCACAGCCAUUGUGGUAAGAGCUGAACAUGCCAUGAGUCAGAGCCUCCCUGAAGCCUGGAACAGUCAAGUGAGACAGAAGAUGAGUAAGAAAAUGUCCACAAAGGCACCUGGCCAAAGCUAUAGGAGAGAUGCUGUCCCCAAAGAAAAGCCGAAGCAAAGUCUGACACCUGACUCAUACCAAGAGGGAAGACAGAGAAAUCUCCAGUGCUGGCUCAACUAGGCAGGAGACAGCAGGGUUUUUUAUGGCAAAAUCUUUUGACUGUCAUAAAUUUUCAUGCUCUGUACCUCGAUAACAUGAUGAAAGGCGAUGGAUUAGAUCCAUUUGUCAUUAUUAAGAAUCUUGCUCCUAGUUGGAGGAAAAAAGUUAACUUGCAGACAGUAUAGCUCAAUUAAGUGGAAACCACACAUCCUAAAGAAAACCAACCCUAAUUGCAGAGCUUUGACCUAAAAUGAAUCAGGUUUGGUCUUAACUGACUGAGCGCCAAAAUGUAUAUUCUAUUAUUUUUUAUCUUGCCAUAGUAAUUAAUGUAAGAAAUGUUUCAUGCCAAGUUAACUUCGCCUGUAAUGUCCUCAAAUUAAAGAAAUUGGAAAUAGCAUCUCUGUCAGAGUGGUUGCACAGUGUUCUCAUCCCCUGAAGGAAACCCAAGCUCUGCUGAUUAGGAAGACUUCAGCUUUUGAUCAUGAGUUAUUGGAUAUCGACCCAUCAUUCAGUCAGGGCUGUAGACUGACCGUCCUGAACUGAAAGGCUUGGAAUCAGAUCACAUCCAGGGGGAACAGCUCUACAAGCAAAACUUCCUUCUCAUCUAAAUCAAGUCUACAAAUAGCAACUCACGUUUGUCAGACAUUCAUCAAAUGUGACAUGCUUCAUGGAGCCAGGCCACAAAAACACAGGAACCUGUCAUAAUAACCUCAUGAAAGACAGUAGAUGGUCCUGAUGCUGUAUGACAUGCCAGGGAGCAGAUAUCAUGCUUCCCAACUAGGUGAAUGUAAAACUCAAUCCUGUAGAAAGAGAAAG